rnacentral:ncRNA from 2 species
UCUUAUCAAGAGCGGCGGAGGGAACUGCCCUGUGAAGCCCGACAACCUGCCACGGCAAGGUGUCAAAUCAGCGGUCGGAUGUACCGGAGAUGA